GUCCCUUUCCUAAACAUCCAAUAAAAUUAGAACGAUACAGAGAAGAUUAGCAUGACCUCUCCACAACUAUGACACACAAAUCAAGAAAAUGUUUCAUUAAUAC
rnacentral:snRNA from 1 species